GCGUUAACGAACGAGACCUUAACCUGCUAAAUAGUUACAUUAAUCUUUGAUUGAUGGUCAACUUCUUAGAGGGACUAUUGAUGUUUAAUCAAUGGAAGUUUGAGGCAAUAACAGGUCUGUGAUGCCCUUAGAUGUUCUGGGCUGCACGCGCGCUACACUGAUGAAGUCAACAAGUUUAUCACCUUGGCUGGAAAGUCUGGGUAAUCUUUUGAAACUUCAUCGUGCUGGGGAUUGUCCAUUGCAAUUAUUGGACAUCAACGAGGAAUUCCUAGUAAGCGCAAGUCAUCAGCUUGCGUUGAUUACGUCCCUGCCCUUUGUACACACCGCCCGUCGCUAAUACCGAUUGAAUGGAUA
rnacentral:rRNA from 1 species